rnacentral:rRNA from 1 species
GACGAACGCUGACGGCGUGCUUAACACAUGCAAGUCGAACGGUGAAGGGACUGGCUUUGCUGGUCCUGGAUGAGUGGCGAACGGGUGAGUAACACGUGAGUAACCUGCCCCCUUCUUCUGGAUAACCGCAUGAAAGUGUGGCUAAUACGGGAUAUUCUGGGUCUGUCGCAUGGUGGGCCUGGGAAAGGUUUUUUCCGGUGGGGGAUGGGCUCGCGGCCUAUCAGCUUGUUGGUGGGGUGAUGGCCUACCAAGGCGGUGACGGGUAGCCGGCCUGAGAGGGUGGACGGUCACACUGGGACUGAGACACGGCCCAGACUCCUACGGGAGGCAGCAGUGGGGAAUAUUGCACAAUGGGCGCAAGCCUGAUGCAGCGACGCCGCGUGAGGGAUGGAGGCCUUCGGGUUGUGAACCUCUUUCGCCAGUGAAGCAGGCCUGCUCCUUUUUUGUGGGUGGGUAGACGGAGCUGGAUAAGAAGCGCC